AUGUACUAUGGGGAUGGCAUGAAGUCCUGCCAAUCUGACUCCACCAGCCGAUGCCUAUGUACUGCUAUGAUGAUCAGAACAGAAUCAGACUCUAACCAGCUGAUGCCUACUCACUCAUAUGAUCGGAAUAGAAUCAGACUCUACCAGCCGAUGCUUAUACAUAAUUAUGUACAGAACAGAAUCAGACUCUACCAGUGGAUGCCUAUGUACUGCUGUGAUCAGAAUCAGACUCUACCAGGGGAUGCCUAUGUACUGCUGUGAUCAGAAUCAGACUCUA
rnacentral:lncRNA from 1 species